rnacentral:miRNA from 1 species
GUUUCAUCCAUGGACACCGCA